UCGCUCUUGUUUCUCUUCAGGUCGUAUAAAUCUUUUGCCUUUUAUUAAAGAUUUCUGUGGGGAGCAACAAGAGUCUCUCUCAACUUUUUUGAUGCUGUGUGAAAGUGGAGCU